CAUGCCGUAAACGAUGAAUGCUAGGUGUUGGAGGGUUUCCGCCCUUCAGUGCCGCAGCUAACGCAUUAAGCAUUCCGCCUGGGGAGUACGACCGCAAGGUUGAAACUCAAAGGAAUUGACGGGGGCCCGCACAAGCGGUGGAGCAUGUGGUUUAAUUCGAAGCAACGCGAAGAACCUUACCAGGUCUUGACAUCUUUUGAUCACCUGAGAGAUCAGGUUUCCCCUUCGGGGGCAAAAUGACAGGUGG
rnacentral:rRNA from 2 species